rnacentral:rRNA from 1 species
AACAAACGCUGGCGGCGUGCCUAAUACAUGCAAGUCGAACGAGGAAGUCCCUUCGGGGAUUGUACUAGUGGCGUACGAGUGAGUAACGCGUGGAUAAUCUUCCUUAAGGUGGGGAAUAACUAGUCGAAAGAUUAGCUAAUACCGCAUAAGACCACAGGGGUUUCGGCCCAAGGGGGUAAAGGCGAAAGUCGCCUUAAGAUGAGUCUGCGCCCGAUUAGCUAGUUGGUGAGGUAAUGGCUCACCAAGGCGACGAUCGGUAGCUGGUCUGAGAGGACGGCCAGCCACACUGGGACUGAGACACGGCCCAGACUCCUACGGGAGGCAGCAGUAGGGAAUAUUGCACAAUGGAGGAAACUCUGAUGCAGCGACGCCGCGUGAGUGACGAAGGCCUUCGGGUUGUAAAGCUCUGUUCUCAGGGAAAAAGAAAGUGAUUGUACCUGAGGAGAAAGGACCGGCUAACUUCGUGCCAGCCGCCGCGGUAA